UACGUGGGGGGCAAGCGUUGUCCGGAUUUACUGGGCGUAAAGAGCGUGUAGGCGGCCAAGCAGGUCCGUUGUGAAAACUGGAGGCUUAACCUCCAGACGUCGACGGAAACCGCGUGGCUAGAGUCCGGAAGAGGAGAGUGGAAUUCCUGGUGUAGCGGUGAAAUGCGCAGAUAUCAGGAAGAACACCAAUGGCGAAGGCAGCUCUCUGGGACGGUACUGACGCUGAGACGCGAAAGCGUGGGGAGCGAACAGG
rnacentral:rRNA from 1 species